CAGAGUUUUCUAACUCCCAAACCCAUGUGAACUUACCAUUGUUGCCUCGGCGGAGCCUACCCUGUAGCUACCCUGUAGGGUGGUUACCCUGUAGCGCCCCGCCGGUGGAUUUUCAAACUCUUGUUAUUUUUAGUAAUCUGAGCGUCUUAUUUUAAAUAAGUCA
rnacentral:misc_RNA from 1 species